rnacentral:rRNA from 1 species
UACGUAGGCAGCAAGCGUUGUUCGGAGUUACUGGGCGUAAAGGGUGCGUAGGCGGCUUUGUAAGUUUGGUGUGAAAUCUCCCGGCUUAACUGGGAGGGUGCGCUAUAGACUGUGGGGCUAGAGUGCGGGAGAGGAAAGUGGAAUUCCUGGUGUAGCGGUGAAAUGCGUAGAUAUCAGGAGGAACACCGGUGGUGUAAACGGCUUUCUGGACCGUAACUGACGCUGAUGCACGAAAGCGUGGGUAGCAAACAGG